GGAAGGUAGUGUAGUUAACACCUGCAUUAUUUGACGUUACCUACAGAAGAAGCACCGGCUAACUCCGUGCCAGCAGCCGCGGUAAUACGGAGGGUGCGAGCGUUAAUCGGAAUUACUGGGCGUAAAGCGCAUGCAGGCGGCCUGUUAAGUCAGAUGUGAAAGACCCGGGGCGUUAACCUCGGAAUUGCAUUUGAAACUGGCAGGCUAGAGUCUUGUAGAGGGGGGUAGGAAGUUUCAGGUGUAGCGGUGAAAUGCGUAGAGAUCUGAAGGAAUACCAGUGGCGAAGGCGGCCCCCUGGACAAAGACUGACGCUCAGAUGCGAAAGCGUGGGGAGCAAACAGGAUUAGAUACCCUGGUAG
rnacentral:rRNA from 1 species